UACGGAGGAUGCAAGCGUUAUCCGGAAUCAUUGGGCGUAAAGCGUCCGCAGGUGGCUAUGUAAGUCUGCUGUUAAAGAGUGAGGCUCAACCUCAUAAGAGCAGUGGAAACUACAUGGCUAGAGUGCGUUCGGGGCAGAGGGAAUUCCUGGUGUAGCGGUGAAAUGCGUAGAGAUCAGGAAGAACACCGGUGGCGAAAGCGCUCUGCUAGGCCGCAACUGACACUGAGGGACGAAAGCUAGGGGAGCGAACAGG
rnacentral:rRNA from 1 species